UACGUAGGUGGCAAGCGUUGUCCGGAUUUACUGGGUGUAAAGGGCGAGUAGGUGGGAUUAGGAAGUCAGAUGUGAAAUACCGAGGCUUAACUUCGGGGCUGCAUUUGAAACUUCUGUUCUUGAGUGAUGGAGAGGCAGGCGGAAUUCCCGGUGUAGCGGUGAAAUGCAUAGAGAUCGGGAGGAACACCAGUGGCGAAGGCGGCCUGCUGGACAUUAACUGACGCUGAGGCGCGAAAGUGUGGGGAGC
rnacentral:rRNA from 1 species